AGUUAUAAACCAACUACUCCGCGUACAUAUGCCAUGGGACUUUGGGAGUGCACUCCUUGGGGAACGGACUCGUGCAGGAUCGAUAGGAUCGUGGGAAAUCGUAGCUCGAAAAGAAGAAGAAGAAUGAACUACUUUUCCAAGGAAUUGGUUGCAUUUGAUGAUCGUGAUGGAGGCAGAGAGUGCUGCUGAUCGCGAUCCAGAUCCGGGUCAAGAAUCACCUCCUGAUCCUAAGGAAACCUCAGCUGACGUAGAUCUACCUUCUCUUCGCGUGAACGCUCAGUCUGUGUUGGCUUGGGCCACAGAGCGUUCCGAAUCCCAGCCGCUAAAGACCCACAGAAGGCAAGAAGCUUGCGUUGCAAAGCUGCUGUCCCGCCUGACUGCGGAGAAAGAAGACUCGUUUAUGGUUGUUCUACAGCCGCUGCUGACGUCCAUCAGCUCUGUCCUGCUCCCAGCAGCAGAUAGGCCUGGAUUUCAAUGAGUCGUGUCCCAACUCCGGUGUGAACGAUUUCCCGACGUCAAGACAAAGUGGGGUCAAGUCAAGGAAGCUGUCACAAGAUGAUCCGGUAUUGAACGGCUACAGCACAACCGAGAGAACGAAAUGUACGUCGCAAUCAAGCUAUGUCGUUGCCAUCUUCUAUGUGCCAUGCGUUACCUGAUGUGCCAGCCUGCUAUGUCGGAUACCGCUAACCAUGCAUCGACUAGGCGCCAGGUGCGAACUGAUGGUGCUGGUGGUGGUGGUGGUGAGAAGGAGAGCUCUUUGCCAGAAUAACUUUGCAGUUUGGAGAGCGUGUCUGGGCAGGCGUGUAUUUACCCCCAUAUUGCCAGGUGUGUAUUUACCACCGUCAUAUGAACCAACCAUAAGUGCAGUUGCAGUGGAGUCUUCAACUUCAUUCUCCCGAGUCAAGCUCCUUGUGAAGGCAUCUAAGAAAAAGAUUGCCUGAUGAGUCCAGCCGGGACGAAAGGUACGUCGCAAUCAAGCUAUGUUGUUGCUGUGUCAUCUGCUAUGCGCCAUACGCUACCUGAUGUACCAGCAUGCUAUGUCGGACACCACUCACCCUGCAUCGACUAGGCGCCAGACGCGAACUGAUGAUGGUGGUGGUGGCGGGAAGGAGAGCUCUGUGCCAGAAAAACUUUUCAGUUUAGAGAGCGUGUGUGGGCAGGUGUGUAUUUACCGCCGUAUGAAUCAACCACAGUACGAUCAGCUGACGUUAUAACUUAUAAGGAUGAUCUCGUGCAGCGAUAGUAUGAUAUUUUUUCAGUCUUUUCUAAGGACUCUCCACUGCAGCGUUUUCUUUCCACUCGGUUCUCUUCUUUUUAUCGCUCAGCUAGCACUUGCAAUGCUUAUACAUACUGAUUAAUCCCGUUCAAUUUUCCGUACAUUUUUCUCAAAAUCCAUAGCGCGGACGAAGUAGUGAUUUUCCGUACAAAUAUGGAAAAUACGGAAGGUUGAUAGCACUGUGUUGAGGCAGCUAUUGUUGACUUUAUUUGGAAUUAAUUCUGUUGUAUUUGCACACAUUCCUGAGUGCAUUGUAUUACUAUUAGCAUCCAAUGUGUGUUAUCUGUGCGAGCUUCUAACCUUGUGAACAUUCA